rnacentral:tRNA from 1 species
CUUUACUCAACGGUAGAGUCCGGAGUGAGCCCGUAGGCGACGGUUCAACUCCGUCAGAGAGCCA